CAAAUUUUAUUUCCAUAAUUUCAAUGUUGGCAUAAGUCAUUUGUAUUUGUUCUUCGAUAUCCCCACCUAUUGCUUGAUGGCUACGGUUGGAUAUUGUGCUGUUCAUGUGAUGCAAGUAGAAAGCAAUUUGUUGAAGCCCUACCUAAUAAUAUACAAUUAGAUCCUCAAAAAGAUAUACCAUAUCCCAGUUGCAUACACAUAUUAGCAAUGAAAAAAAUCUGGUUGUGUAUGAUAGAAAGUUUGGUAUUGAAGCCAAAGAUUUUAUUGAAAAAAAAUCCACAUCCAUGAUGCAGUCUGUUUUCAGUGAUCAUUCCUACCAUGAGAUGCAACCUAACCUGAAGAAGAAUUGUUUAGUGCAGUGUGCAGGGAGGUUCAGUGGAUUGCUGUAAAACCAGUGAAUAGUCCAUGGGGGGUUUGUACUUUUGUGUAUUCAAAAGUAACGCUGCCCCAGCCCGAGUUAAAAUGUUGCAGCUGUUCGUCAUAUCAUUGCAUUCAUGUGACAACCCUUGCAAAAGCCAUGCAAAUCGUUGAAGAGGAUGAAAUGGAUUCUCCAUUGGUACUUUUUAAGUUUUCCUUUGGAAUAACACCAGAGAUGCGAGACUAUUUUGAAUUGGCUACACUUAGCAAAGAAAAGGUUUCUUUAUUUGAAACAGGCAAUGAGAAUGAUGCAAGCGAUUUUACUGAUCUUCCUGAAAAAAAUGGUCAUAAUUUUGGCGCCAUCUGAAAGUGGUAUUUGUUCUUGUGGUGCAGAGUGGGAUAAACGUUCUAUUCAAGAUGAAUGGUUGUACGUAGACGUGUGUUCAGUUGCGUACUUUUAUUCAAUCCAUGAUGUGAAGGUAUAUUGUAGACCUUGCUCCUCUUGUGCUACGAAAAAGCAUUAUGAUGGCAUUGAAAACAGGAUUGUAUGGUUUGGAUCAUAUGUAAUAUCUCAUGCCGUUCUAAAAGAUUACAUUCGGCUUUUCAUAACUUCGAGUUUACCUAUGUACAAAUAUUAUGUUGCGUAUGUACAAAGGCAAGUGUCUUCGGGUAAUUUUAAUUUCCCAAAGGAAAUAACUUACGCCAAGUUUCGUCUCGCUAUCAUUGCCAUGAUACGGUUGCUUGAUAUUGAUUUUGACAAUGGGUUUUUUUGUGAAUUAUGUGGAAGAAUUCCCCAAAAGGUGGUGAUGGAUGGAACUCUUGGAAUACAGAAAACUUUAAAUGAAGAUAUGAUCAUUCAUACAGAAAACUUUCUUACCAAAUAAUUUAAGAGAGUCUGAUACUGGAUUGCUAGA